UACGGAGGGUGCGAGCGUUGUCCGGAAUCAUUGGGCGUAAAGGGCGCGUAGGUGGCCCGGUCAGUUCGUGGUGAAAGCGCGGGGCUCAACCCUGCGUCGGCCAUGAAUACUGCCGCGGCUGGAGCACUGUAGAGGCAGGCGGAAUUCCGGGUGUAGCGGUGGAAUGCGUAGAGAUCCGGAAGAACACCGGUGGCGAAGGCGGCCUGCUGGGCAGUUGCUGACACUGAGGCGCGACAGCGUGGGAAGCAAACAGG
rnacentral:rRNA from 1 species